GAUGAACGCUGGCGGCGUGCCUAAUACAUGCAGGUCGAGCGAACGAACGAGAAGCUUGCUUCUCUGAUGUUAGCGGCGGACGGGUGAGUAACACGUGGAUAACCUACCUAUAAGACUGGGAUAACUUCGGGAAACCGGAGCUAAUACCGGAUAAUAUUUUGAACCGCAUGGUUCAAAAGUGAAAGACGGUCUUGCUGUCACUUAUAGAUGGAUCCGCGCUGCAUUAGCUAGUUGGUAAGGUAACGGCUUACCAAGGCAACGAUGCAUAGCCGACCUGAGAGGGUGAUCGGCCACACUGGAACUGAGACACGGUCCAGACUCCUACGGGAGGCAGCAGUAGGGAAUCUUCCGCAAUGGGCGAAAGCCUGACGGAGCAACGCCGCGUGAGUGAUGAAGGUCUUCGGAUCGUAAAACUCUGUUAUUAGGGAAGAACAUAUGUGUAAGUAACUGUGCACAUCUUGACGGUACCUAAUCAGAAAGCCACGGCUAACUACGUG
rnacentral:rRNA from 1 species